rnacentral:misc_RNA from 1 species
GAUGAAGAACGCAGCGAAAUGCGAUAAGUAGUGUGAAUUGCAGAAUUCAGUGAAUCAUCGAAUCUUUGAACGCACAUUGCGCCCUUUGGUAUUCCAAAGGGCAUGCCUGUUCGAGCGUCAUUUGUACCCUCAAGCUUUGCUUGGUGUUGGGCGUCUUGUCUCUAGCUUUGCUGGAGACUCGCCUUAAAGUAAUUGGCAGCCGGCCUACUGGUUUCGGAGCGCAGCACAAGUCGCACUCUCUAUCAGCAAAGGUCUAGCAUCCAUUAAGCCUUUUUUUCAACUUUUGACCUCGGAUCAGGUAGGGAUACCCGCUGAACUUAAGCAGAUCAAUAAGCGGAGGA